rnacentral:rRNA from 1 species
AACGAACGCUGGCGGCAUGCCUAACACAUGCAAGUCGAACGAGACCUUCGGGCCUAGUGGCGCACGGGUGCGUAACGCGUGGGAACCUGCCCUUAGGUCCGCAAUAACUCCCCGAAAGGGGUGCUAAUACCGGCUCAUGUCCUCGGACCAAAGAUUUAUCGCCUUUGGAUGGGCCCGCGUUGGAUUAGCUAGUUGGUAGGGUAAAAGCCUACCAAGGCGACGAUCCAUAGCUGGUCUGAGAGGAUGGUCAGCCACACUGGGACUGAGACACGGCCCAGACUCCUACGGGAGGCGGCAGUGGGGAAUAUUGGACAGUGGGCGAAGGCCUGAUCCAGCAAGGCCGCGUGAGUGAUGAAGGCCUUAGGGUUGUAAAGCUCUUUUACCCGGGAUGAUAAUGACAGUACCGGGAGAAUAAGCUCCGGCUAACUCCGUG